CAACCCACUUUACAGAGGAGAAAACAGGAUCAGAGAAGGGAAGCCAGCUGCCCGAGGUUGUGGCUGGUGGAAGUGCUGGAAACCAGGUUCACUCUCAGAUCUGCUCCAUUCCAAAGCUUCCUUCCCAUGGUGCCCAGGUUUUCCUGCCGAGGUCAACAAAACCUAGAAUGUUCCAGCACACAGGGCGGGGCGAGUUCCAGCCACAGCCUGGUUCUCAUCAGGCAGACUCCUUUGAACCCGAGGUGCUGAGUGGAAAGAUGCCAAACUGUCUCGGGAAGGGGUGGAGAGAGGCGAGAUGCUGUCAAGAUGAAAAUGUCCCCUGCUGCGUCACCAGAAGAAAAGAAAACAUGCUCCUCUCAUUUGUCUUCACAAAGGCUACACAGGAAGAGAGCAGUUUAUGAAGGCACUGCAUACUUUAUAGCAAGGAAGCCGUGACAGAGACACUUAGCUCAGCUCUUGAGAAGAACCUUUGCAAAAGAAGAGGGGGGAGAUGGUCGUUCAUCAUGAGGUGAGAAGCUCUCUUCUACCAUGACCUCUUGGCCAUGAGGUUUCUGCCCCAUCACAGGUGGAUAAUAAUGGAGCCAGCUGAAUAUGAACUGAAAUCUAGGAAACCAUGGACCACAAUAAAUCUUUCCUUCUUUAA